UUUCACCGAUCCCAACAGGAGUGGCCGAUCCGCGUCGCGCUCGCGGCCGUAAGUGUCCAGCAGCGCGUUCGCCUC
rnacentral:antisense_RNA from 1 species